GACGAACGCUAGCGGCAGGCCUAACACAUGCAAGUCGAGGGGUAACAGGGACUUCGGUCCGCUGACGACCGGCGCACGGGUGCGUAACGCGUAUACAACUUACCUUUGAGAGUGGGAUAGCCCAGAGAAAUUUGGAUUAAUACCACAUGGUCUUCUAAGGUCACCUGGCCUAAGGAGUAAAAGUUUUUCGCUCAAAGAUGGGUAUGCGUAUGAUUAGCUAGUUGGUGAGGUAAUGGCUCACCAAGGCAUCGAUCAUUAGCUGGUCUGAGAGGAUGAUCAGCCACACGGGAACUGAGACACGGUCCCGACUCCUACGGGAGGCAGCAGUGAGGAAUAUUGGACAAUGGGGGCAACCCUGAUCCAGCCAUGCCGCGUGCAGGAUGACGGCCCUCUGGGUUGUAAACUGCUUUUAUAUGGGACUAAUAAAAGACUAUACGUCUUGAUGCAUGUACCAUUUGAAUAAGCACCGGCUAACUACG
rnacentral:rRNA from 1 species